rnacentral:ncRNA from 1 species
UAAUAUAUGAUUAUUUUUAAAAACAAUUUAUUGAAUAUUUUUAUAACUAUAAAUCUAAAAAUAGUUAUAAAAAUAUAAAAGAACUUAUAACAGAAUUAGAAAAGUUUGAUUCUAGCUUUAUAAUUUAUAAUAUAAAUUUUGUACAUGUAAUUGGCAGUAUUUUGUAUUAUACAAUAACAUUGAUAUAAAAUUUUAUUUUUUAUUGGUAAACAUUGUGCCAGCACCCGCGGUUAUACACUGGAUAAAAUAAAUUUUAUUGGUAAAAUUUAAUUGGGUUAUUAAAUUUAAGAUUUAUUAGGUGAAAUUAAUAAUUUUAAGUUAUUUAUUAUAGUUAGAUUAAAUAGGGGUUGAUUAAACCUGGAUUAGAUACCCAGUUAUUUUCUUGGAUUUAUACCUAAGUAGUAUUUAAUAAAAAUUUAAAGAAUUUGGCGGCAUUUUAUUCUUUUUAGAGGAACCUGUUAUUUUAAAGAUACUACACUCUAUAGCUCUUUUAAUAUUCUUAUAUAUCGUUGUUUAAAGAAUUAAUUUAAAAAAUUUUUCUUAAAAAUUAAUUUAUUUUUAUAUCAAAUCAAGGCGUAGGAUUUAAAAGUAUAAAUGGGUUACAUUAAACUUAUUAUUGGAUUAUCUACAAAAUAAGUAUGAAAUUGGAUUUAAAAGUAAUUUAAAAUUUUUAAAAUGUGAAUAAAGUUCUAAAAUGUGUACAUAUCGCCCGUCGCUCUAAUUUAUAAAUUACAUAAUUCGUAACAAAGUAGUUUUUCCGGAAGGAGGAGUUUGAUU